rnacentral:tRNA from 1 species
GGAGAGAUGGCUGAGUUAGGUUAAAAGCGGUAGAUUGCUACUCUAUUAUAUUUUUUUUAAAUAUCAAGGGUUCAAAUCCCUUUCUCUCUU